UAUGGAGAGUUUGAUCCUGGCUCAGAACUAACGCUGGCGGCGUGUCUUAGUCAUGCAAGUCGAACGAGAAAGCGUUCUUCGGAACGUGAGUACAGUGGCGGACGGGUGAGUAACACGUGGGGAACCUGCCCUCAAGCUGGGAACAACCCGCCUAACGGCGGGCUAAUACCGAAUGUGGUUGUCAGUCCGCAUGGUAUGACAACUAAAGGUGGCCUCUCCUUGGAAGCUACCGCUUGUGGAUGGCCCCGCGCUCAAUUAGCUAGUUGGUAGGGUAACGGCCUACCAAGGCGACGAUUGAUAGCCGACCUGAGAGGGUGAUCGGCCACACUGGGAUUGAGAUAAGGCCCAGUCUCCUACGGGAGCCAGCAGUCUAGAAAUUUGGGCAAUGGGCGAAAGCCUGACCCAGCGACGCCGCGUGGGGGAUGAAGCUUCUCGGAGUGUAAACCCCUGUUAGGUGGGACGAAAGCCCGUAUACGAAUAGUAGGCGGGUUUGACGGUACCACCAGAGGAAGCUCCGGCUAACUCCGUGCCAGCAGCCGCGGUAAUACGG
rnacentral:rRNA from 1 species